AACGAACGCUGGCGGCAUGCCUAACACAUGCAAGUCGAACGGGAUCCUGGCUUCGGUCAGGUGAGAGUGGCGGACGGGUGAGUAACGCGUGGGAACCUGCCCAGUGGUGGGGGAUAACUGCGGGAAACUGCAGCUAAUACCGCAUGAGCCCGAGAGGGGAAAGAUUUAUCGCCAUUGGAGGGGCCCGCGUUCGAUUAGGUAGUUGGUGAGGUAACGGCUCACCAAGCCGACGAUCGAUAGCUGGUCUGAGAGGAUGAUCAGCCACACUGGGACUGAGAUACGGCCCAGACUCCUACGGGAGGCAGCAGUGGGGAAUAUUGGACAAUGGGGGCAACCCUGAUCCAGCAAUGCCGCGUGAGUGAUGAAGGCCUUCGGUUGUAAGCUCUUUUGUCCAGGGUACGAUGAUGACGGUACCU
rnacentral:rRNA from 1 species